GACGAACGCUGGCGGCGCGCUUAACACAUGCAAGUCGAGCGAGAACCAGGGCUUCGGCUCUGGGGAAAGCGGCGAACGGGUGAGUAACACGUGAGUCAUCCACCCUCGGCACCGGGAUAGCCCGGGGAAACCCGGAUUAAUACCGGAUGGCCUGUCUGCCCUUCGGGGCGGCCGGAAAAGGUAGCUUCGGCCUCCGGCCGAGGACGAGCUCGCGGCGGAUUAGCUUGUUGGCGGGGUAACGGCCCACCAAGGCGACGAUCCGUAGCUGGUCUGAGGGGACGAUCAGCCACACUGGGACUGAGACACGGCCCAGACUCCUACGGGAGGCAGCAGUGGGGAAUCUUGCGCAAUGGGCGAAAGCCUGACGCAGCGACGCCGCGUGCGGGAAGAAGGCCUUCGGGUUGUAAACCGCUUUCAGGAGGGACGAAGCCACUCGGGUGAAUAGCCCAGAGGGUGACGGUACCUCCAGAAGAAGCCCCGGCUAACUACGUGCCAGCCGCCGCUGUAACAC
rnacentral:rRNA from 1 species